rnacentral:rRNA from 1 species
GAUGAACGCUGGCGGCGUGCCUAAUACAUGCAAGUCGAGCGAGCAGACGAGGAGCUUGCUCCUCUGACGUUAGCGGCGGACGGGUGAGUAACACGUGGAUAACCUACCUAUAAGACUGGGAUAACUUCGGGAAACCGGAGCUAAUACCAGAUAAUAUAUUGAACCGCAUGGUUCAAUAGUGAAAGACGGUUUUGCUGUCACUUAUAGAUGGAUCCGCGCCGCAUUAGCUAGUUGGUAAGGUAACGGCUUACCAAGGCAACGAUGCGUAGCCGACCUGAGAGGGUGAUCGGCCACACUGGAACUGAGACACGGUCCAGACUCCUACGGGAGGCAGCAGUAGGGAAUCUUCCGCAAUGGGCGAAAGCCUGACGGAGCAACGCCGCGUGAGUGAUGAAGGUCUUCGGAUCGUAAAACUCUGUUAUUAGGGAAGAACAAAUGUGUAAGUAACUAUGCACGUCUUGACGGUACCUAAUCAGAAAGCCACGGCUAACUACGUG